UACGUAGGGGGCGAGCGUUGUCCGGAUUCAUUGGGCGUAAAGAGCUCGUAGGCGGCUUGGCAAGUCGGGUGUGAAACCUCCAGGCUCAACCUGGAGUCGCCACCCGAAACUGCCAUGGCUAGAGUCCGGUAGGGGACCACGGAAUUCCUGGUGUAGCGGUGAAAUGCGCAGAUAUCAGGAGGAACACCGGUGGCGAAGGCGGUUCUCUGGGCCUUACCUGACGCUGAGGAGCGAAAGCGUGGGGAGCGAACAGG
rnacentral:rRNA from 1 species